CCUUAGCUCAGUUGGUAGAGCAACUGACUUUUAAUCAGUAGGUCGCUGGUUCGAACCCAGCAG
rnacentral:tRNA from 1 species